AUAAUCGGAAGAAACAAAAACAAGCUGUGGUGAAGAAGAAACGUUUUCUAAAGCCUCUUUUAUCCCCAGGAUGGUUGAGAAGUCACAGGCCUGCAAUGCUAGGAAGAGAGGGUCUAAAAUGAACUUGACGAGUUUUAUCAGAAUUAAGUAACGAUGGUUCCUCUACAGCCUGCCCAUUAUGAGCCAGGUCCUUUCCAGUCCUUUUCACCGUGAUGUAAGUAGGCUCUCCAGCAGUCCCAGAAGACUUUCACAAGAAGAGUUUCGGACAACAGAAAAUAAGCCUAAGUGAUUGUGUGAAUAUCACAGAGCAACAGAGAAAAUGUGGAUCACUCCAACUCUAGCACAAGGUCGGGGAGGAAAAAAAAUCAGAGAGUUUGGAAUUUCUAAAUGCUCGUGUUUGAGAAAUGGGGAGCAUCACAAACUAACAGCAGAGGUGGACAUUUUUCACAGGGUAAAGGAUUCCCACGGAACAGCAC